rnacentral:rRNA from 1 species
GACGAACGCUGGCGGCGUGCUUAACACAUGCAAGUCGAGCGGUAAGGCCCGUUUCGGGGGUACACGAGCGGCGAACGGGUGAGUAACACGUGGGUGACCUGCCCUCAGCUCUGGGAUAAGCCUGGGAAACCGGGUCUAAUACUGGAUAUGACUCCAUGACGCAUGUUGGUGGGGUGGAAAGCCUUGUGCGGCUGAGGAUGGGCCCGCGGCCUAUCAGCUUGUUGGUGGGGUGANGGCCUACCAAGGCGACGACGGGUAGCCGGCCUGAGAGGGCGACCGGCCACACUGGGACUGAGACAC